GUCAGAGCCAGAUCACCCUGCAGCUCUCGCUUGGUUUCCCACUGAAGCUAAGCAGGGUUGAGUGUGACUAGCACCUGGAUGAGAGACCUCCUGGGGAAAACUAAGGUUGCUGAUG
rnacentral:rRNA from 1 species